rnacentral:rRNA from 1 species
AGUGAACGCUGGCGGUAGGCCUAACACAUGCAAGUCGAACGGCAGCACAGUAAGGGCUUGCUCUUACGGGUGGCGAGUGGCGGACGGGUGAGGAAUACAUCGGAAUCUACUUUUUCGUGGGGGAUAACGUAGGGAAACUUACGCUAAUACCGCAUACGACCUACGGGUGAAAGCAGGGGAUCUUCGGACCUUGCGCGAUUGAAUGAGCCGAUGUCGGAUUAGCUAGUUGGCGGGGUAAAGGCCCACCAAGGCGACGAUCCGUAGCUGGUCUGAGAGGAUGAUCAGCCACACUGGAACUGAGACACGGUCCAGACUCCUACGGGAGGCAGCAGUGGGGAAUAUUGGACAAUGGGCGCAAGCCUGAUCCAGCCAUACCGCGUGGGUGAAGAAGGCCUUCGGGUUGUAAAGCCCUUUUGUUGGCAAAGAAAAGCAGCAGGUUAAUACCCCGCUGUUCUGACGGUACCCAAAGAAUAAGCACCGGCUAACUUCGUG